AUGAUUGUGCUCAAAGCAUUGUCUCCGCAGACUAGGAUUCUUACCCUUUCCUACUUAAGCUUUGGGCACAAAAAC
rnacentral:ncRNA from 1 species